GCGCCGAUGGUUCAGUGGUAGCAUUCUUGCCUUCCAUGAAGGAGACCUGGGUUCGAUUCCCGGCCAGUGCA
rnacentral:tRNA from 1 species